CCCCCAGCCGUCCUUGCUGCUUUCCGAUGUAUCUUCUUUUUUUUGUUUUUUCCUGCAAGUGUGGCGCAUGGCGCCGUUUAAACAAUUACACUCCCAUUAGUUCAUGUAAUCGUCCAGUACUUAGUUGAUCAAGCUCUUUAAUUUGCUUAACUCUUGUUCCUUGUUCCUGGGGCUGCCUCGCGUGGCGGCUCCCUUAGCCUUUGCGUGUUUUGCCUUGUGUUGCCGGGGACUCACGCGCCUCACCCUUGACCAGACCAGGGACCCGGGACGGACCCGCAGUGCUGACCUGGGGUCAAGCGGUAGCGGGGAGCCAAUCCACUUGCGGGGUAACUACUCCAAGCCAUGCCCUCCCGGGACGGACCCGGGAAGCCACACGGGGAGCGCACUCCCCCCACAAGUGUCCUUCAAUUACGUUCAGUUCUCAGAGGGUUUGUCAUUUAGGUGCCAGCACUUAGCUUUUCGUUCAGUCUUGCGCCCGAAGCGUUUUCGGAGGUGCACUCCUGGCUCGUCGUCCUUACAAAAUGCCUGAU
rnacentral:lncRNA from 1 species